UUCGUAAUGCCCGAAAGGGUGACGAAGCGACGCCGCGUGAGCGAAGAAGGCCCUAGGGUUGUAAAGCUCUGUCGAGGGUUAUGAAAUAUAGAUGGGUUAAUACCCCAUUUAUUUGACAAAAGCCCAAAAGGAAGCCACGGCUAACUCUGUGCCAGCAGCCGCGGUAAUACAGAGGUGGCGAGCGUUGUUCGGUAUUAUUGGGCGUAAAGAGCACGUAGGUGGUUUUGUAAGUCAGGUGUGAAAGCCUUCUGUUCAAAGGAAGAACGGCAUCUGAAACUGCAGAUCUUGAGUGUAGGAGGGGAGAGUGGAACUUCUGGUGGAGCGGUGAAAUGCGUAGAUAUCAGAAGGAACGUCGGCGGCGAAAGCGACUCUCUGGCCUAUUACUGACACUGAGGUGCGAAAGUUAGGGGAGCAAACGGGAUUAGAUACCCCGGUAGUCCUAACCGUAAACGAUGGGCACUAAGUAGAGGGGUUUU
rnacentral:rRNA from 1 species